rnacentral:rRNA from 1 species
GACGAAUGCUGGCUGCGUGCUUAACACAUGCAAGUCGAACGGUGAAGGAGGGCUUGCCCUCCGGAUCAGUGGCGAACGGGUGAGUAACACGUGGGCAACCUGCCCCUCACUCUGGGAUAACGCCGGGAAACCGGCGCUAAUACCGGAUACGACCAGGCGCGACAUCUCGCCUGGUGGAAAGAAUUUCGGUGAGGGAUGGGCCCGCGGCCUAUCAGCUAGUGGGUGGGGUAACGGCCCACCAAGGCGACGACGGGUAGCCGCCCUGAGAGGGCGACCGGCCACACUGGGACUGGGACACGGCCCAGACUCCUACGGGAGGCAGCAGUGGGGAAUAUUGCGCAAUGGGCGAAAGCCUGACGCAGCGACGCAGCGUGAGGGACGAAGGCCUUCGGGUUGUAAACCUCUUUCAGCGGGGACGAAGCGAAAGUGACGGCACCCGCAGAAGAAGCACCGGCUAACUACGUGCCAGCCGCCGCGGUAACAC